rnacentral:rRNA from 1 species
UGAGUAACACGUAUCCAACCUGCCGUCUACUCUUGGACAGCCUUCUGAAAGGAAGAUUAAUACAAGAUGGCAUCAUGAGUUCACAUGUUCACAUGAUUAAAGGUAUUCCGGUAGACGAUGGGGAUGCGUUCCAUUAGAUAGUAGGCGGGGUAACGGCCCAUCUAGUCUUCGAUGGAUAGGGGUUCUGAGAGGAAGGUCCCCCACAUUGGAACUGAGACACGGUCCAA